rnacentral:rRNA from 1 species
UAGGGAAUCUUCCACAAUGGACGCAAGUCUGAUGGAGCAACGCCGCGUGAGUGAAGAAGGCUUUCGGGUCGUAAAACUCUGUUGUUGGAGAAGAAUGGUCGGCAGAGUAACUGUUGUCGGCGUGACGGUAUCCAACCAGAAAGCCACGGCUAACUACGUGCCAGCAGCCGCGGUAAUACGUAGGUGGCAAGCGUUAUCCGGAUUUAUUGGGCGUAAAGCGAGCGCAGACGGUUUUUUAAGUCUGAUGUGAAAGCCCUCGGCUUAACCGAGGAAGUGCAUCGGAAACUGGGAAACUUGAGUGCAGAAGAGGACAGUGGAACUCCAUGUGUAGCGGUGAAAUGCGUAGAUAUAUGGAAGAACACCAGUGGCGAAGGCGGCUGUCUGGUCUGUAACUGACGCUGAGGCUCGAAAGCAUGGGUAGCGAACAGGAUUAGAUACCCUGGUAGUCCAUGCCGUAAACGAUGAAUGCUAGGUGUUGGAGGGUUUCCGCCCUUCAGUGCCGCAGCUAACGCAUUAAGCAUUCCGCCUGGGGAGUACGACCGCAAGGUUGAAAC